CCCUUAGAUGUUCGGGGCCGCACGCGCGCUACACUGAAGGAAUCAGCACGUCUUUCUCCUUGUCCGAAAGGACUGGGUAACCCGCUGAACCUCCUUCGUGCUAGGGAUUGGGGCUUGUAAUUCUUCCCCAUGAACGAGGAAUUCCCAGUAAGCGCGAGUCAUAAGCUCGCGUUGAUUACGUCCCUGCCCUUUGUACACGCCGCCCGUCGCUACUACCGAUUGGAUGGUUUAGUGAGAUCCUCGGAUUGGUCCCGGAGCGGCCUCUGGUCGUGCCGGAGUGCCGAAAAGAAUGUCGAACUUGAUCAUCUAGAGGAAGUAAAAGUCGUAACA
rnacentral:rRNA from 1 species